GACAGGCGAUGGAGACGGGGAUCAGAUGGGAGGGUGACCUGGUGAGAGAUUUUCCAGCUGGCAGAAAUGUCCUCUACCUUGAGGGAGGCGUGUGACAUGGGAGUGAUCUGGCGGAUUGCUUCCCCGGGGGGUCACUGGGGGUCAGAGUGUGAGGAUUUCCACUAGGAAGGUUCUGUUUAAAGAGGAGAAUGGAUGGUUACACAUCCUGCUUGGGAUCCAAUCACUGAACCAGAGGGGAACACCGUGCAUGAUGGGCUGCCCUACCCACUUUACGGAUGAGGAAAUGGAGGCUCGGGAGAUGAAGCUGGCAGACUUCCUCUGGAACUUCCUCUGGACAUCUGGAGGGACGUCCUGUCAGCAGAGCAGGCUGGACUGCUUCACAAAGAGGAUGCAGCCCCACCUCCCAGCGGGAGUCAGUUCUGCUCUGAGACGUGAGGCUCAGAAUCAGAUGAAGACUCCUGCUGCUGCAUCUUGAAGAUAAUGAUGCUGUUGCUCCCGGCUGGAACCACAGCAGUGGCGAUGAGUGAACAGCCAGCAGAGUGGAGCGGCCACACUGAUACAGGUGAGGCUCCAGCACUGCCGCAGCCCAGGGCCAGGCAAAACCGCCUUCCUAUCCCCCGGGAGCCGAGGCCUCCGAGAUCGGCGCUGGGAGGUCGCACAGUGCAGGCAAAUCACACGGACCUCAGAGCAGGGUCCCUGGCCGUGAAAACUCAAAAGACACAGUCUUUAAAAUAAGGACAGAAAACUGUAUUUAGUGCCACAAUAAAGCUGUGUCACAAACUACCC
rnacentral:lncRNA from 1 species